rnacentral:rRNA from 1 species
UGAGAGGGUGAUCGGCCACACUGGGACUGAGACACGGCCCAGACUCCUACGGGAGGCAGCAGUGGGGAAUAUUGCACAAUGGGCGCAAGCCUGAUGCAGCGACGCCGCGUGAGGGAUGACGGCCUUCGGGUUGUAAACCUCUUUCAGCUCCGACGAAGCGCAAGUGACGGUAGGAGCAGAAGAAGCACCGGCCAACUACGUGCCAGCAGCCGCGGUAAUACGUAGGGUGCAAGCGUUGUCCGGAAUUACUGGGCGUAAAGAGCUCGUAGGCGGUUUGUCGCGUCGUCUGUGAAAUUCUGCAGCUUAACUGCAGGCGUGCAGGCGAUACGGGCAGACUUGAGUACUACAGGGGAGACUGGAAUUCCUGGUGUAGCGGUGAAAUGCGCAGAUAUCAGGAGGAACACCGGUGGCGAAGGCGGGUCUUUGGGUAGUAACUGACGCUGAGGAGCGAAAGCGUGGGUAGCGAACAGGAUUAGAUACCCUGGUAGUCCACGCCGUAAACGGUGGGUACUAUGUGUGGGUUUCAUUUCACGGAAUCCGUGCCGUAGCUAACGCAUUAAGUACCCCGCCUGGGGAGUACGGCCGCAAGGCUAAACCUCCCAGGAAUUGACGGGGGCCCGCACAAGCGGCGGAGCAUGUGGAUUAAUUCGAUGCAACGCGAAGAACCUUACCUGGGUUUGACAUACACCAGACGCAGUCAGAGAUGGCUGUUCCCUUGUGGUUGGUGUACAGGUGGUGCAUGGCUGUCGUCAGCUCGUGUCGUGAGAUGUUGGGUUAAGUCCCGCAACGAGCGCAACCCUUGUCCUGUAUUGCCAGCGGGUUAUGCCGGGGACUUGCAGGAGACUGCCGGGGUCAACUCGGAGGAAGGUGGGGAUGACGUCAAGUCAUCAUGCCCCUUAUGUCCAGGGCUUCACACAUGCUACAAUGGCUGGUACAGAGGGCUGCGAGACCGUGAGGUGGAGCGAAUCCCUUAAAAGCCAGUCUCAGUUCGGAUUUGGGGUCUGCAACUC